UCCCCGUCGCCACAGAAGAGUCUGGGCCUCAGGGAGAGAGACACUGGCUGUCCGGCCUUGGAUCCCCACCGCUGCCGUGCCCUCCAUGGCCCCUGGUACCAAAGUAUCCUGAAAUGGACCAAUUUUGACAAGAUGUAGUGCGGUAGCACUCCUGGUUGGACAUGUUCAGUCAUGGCAUCCGAACUCUGUAAGACGAUCUCUGUGGCCAGGCUUGAAAAGCACAAGAAUUUGUUCUUAAAUUACAGGAACCUGCACCAUUUUCCACUGGAGUUACUGAAAGAUGAGGGGCUGCAGCACCUGGAGAGGCUCUACAUGAAAAGGAACUCCCUCACAACCUUGCCAGAAAACCUUGCUCAGAAGCUUCCAAACCUUGUGGAACUGUACCUUCACUCGAAUAACAUAGUUGUGGUUCCAGAAGCCAUCGGGUCCCUUGUGAAACUCCAGUGUCUGGAUCUCAGUGACAAUGCCUUAGAGAUCGUUUGCCCAGAGAUUGGUCGUCUGAGAGCGUUACGUCAUCUUCGAUUGGCUAAUAACCAGCUACAAUUCCUACCUCCAGUACCUCACUGUGGACCGCAAUCGGCUCUGGUGUGUGCCGCGUCAUCUCUGCCAGCUGCCCAGCCUCAAUGAGCUCUCCAUGGCUGGAAACCGUCUUGCAUCUUUGCCAGUUGACUUAGGUCGCUCUCGAGAACUGCAGUAUGUGUAUGUGGAUAACAACGUCAACCUGAAAGGCCUGCCCUCAUACCUCUACAACAAAGUCAUCGGCUGCAACGGCUGUGGCAUCCCCAUCCAGUUGUCAGAGGUGAGA
rnacentral:lncRNA from 1 species